AUGCCUGUACCAUAACCGACACAGGUGGGUAGGUAGAGUAUACUAAGGGGCGCGAGAUAACUCUCUCUAAGGAACUCGGCAAAAUGACUCCGUGACUUCGGGAGAAGGAGUGCCUUAUUUAUAAGGUUGCAAUAACAAGAUCCAAGCAACUGUUUAUCAAAAACACAGGUCUCCGCUAAGUCGUAAGACGAUGUAUGGGGGCUGACGCCUGCCCAGUGCCAGAAGGUUAAAGAAGUUGGUUAGUGUAUGCGAAGCUGAUGACUGAAGCCCUGGUGAACGGCGGCCGUAACAAUAACGGUCCUAAGGUAGCGAAAUUCCUUGUCGGGUAAGUUCCGACCCGCACGAAAGGCGUAAUGAUUUGGAUACUGUCUCGGAGAGAGGCUCGGUGAAAUAGACUUGUCUGUGAAGAUGCGGACUACCUGCACCAGGACAGAAAGACCCUAUGAAGCUUUACUGUAACUUGAAAUUGGAAUUGGACUUUGCUUGCGCAGUAUAGGUGGGAAGCGUUGAAGAUAUUCUUGCGGGAGUAUUGGAGCUAUCAGUGAGAUACCACUCUUGUAAUGUUAGAUUUCUAACUUUGAACCAUAAUCUGGUCAAAGAACAGUUUCAGGUGGGCAGUUUGACUGGGGCGGUCGCCUCCCAAAUGGUAACGGAGGCGUACAAAGGUUUCCUCUGAACGGAUAGAAAUCGUAUCUAGAGUGUAAAGGCAUAAGGAAGCUUGACUGUGAGACCUACAAGUCGAGCAGGGACGAAAGUCGGUCUUAGUGAUCUGACGGUACUGAGUGGAAAGGCCGUCACUCAACGGAUAAAAGUUACUCUAGGAUAACAGGCUGAUCUCCCCCAAGAGUUCACAUCGACGGGGAGGUUUGGCACCUCGAUGUCGGCUCAUCGCAUCCUGGGGCGGUAGUACGUCCCAAGGGUUGGGCUGUUCGCCCAUGAAAGCGGUACGCGAGCUGGGUUCAGAACGUCGUGAGACAGUUCGGUCCAUAUCCGGUGUAGGCGUUAGAAUAUUGAGAGGAGCCUUCUUUAGUACGAGAGGACCGAGAAGGACACACCGCUGGUGUACCAGUUAUCGUGCCAACGGUAAACGCUGGGUAGCUAUGUGUGGAGUGGAUAACCGCUGAAAGCAUCUAAGUGGGAAGCCCACCUCAAGAUGAGUGCUCUCACAGGGUUAACCUGGUAAGGUCACGGGAAGACCACCCGUUAAUAGGCACUAGGUGGAAGUCCAGUAAUGGAUGGAGCCAAGGUGUACUAACAGACCGAGGGCUUGAC
rnacentral:rRNA from 1 species